UCCAGGACUCGUCGGCCCUCCAGGCUGGUGCGAUGCAUGUGAUGGUGUUGCACUGUGGGAAGAGCCAGUGUUGAGGUUUGGCUCCAAGCACAGUUCUGGUGUUGCAGCAGAAUACCUGUGGGCAAUGUUUUACACCUCUGAGAGUGGAAUGACUCCUCCCGUGGAACUGCUCUCAGUCCGGUGCAAACAAU
rnacentral:snoRNA from 1 species